rnacentral:rRNA from 1 species
AAGUUCCGUAGGUGAUACUGAGGAAGGAUCAUUA